AGCGAACGCUGGCGGCAGGCUUAACACAUGCAAGUCGAGCGGGCCCUUCGGGGUCAGCGGCGGACGGGUGAGUAACGCGUGGGAACGUGCCUUCUGGUUCGGAAUAACCCUGGGAAACUAGGGCUAAUACCGGAUACGCCCUUAUGGGGAAAGGUUUACUGCCGGAAGAUCGGCCCGCGUCUGAUUAGCUAGUUGGUGGGGUAACGGCCUACCAAGGCGACGAUCAGUAGCUGGUCUGAGAGGAUGAUCAGCCACACUGGGACUGAGACACGGCCCAGACUCCUACGGGAGGCAGCAGUGGGGAAUAUUGGACAAUGGGCGCAAGCCUGAUCCAGCCAUGCCGCGUGAGUGAUGAAGGCCUUAGGGUCGUAAAGCUCUUUUAUCCGGGACGAUAAUGACGGUACCGGAGGAAUAAGCCCCGGCUAACUUCGUGCCAGCCGCCGCGGUAA
rnacentral:rRNA from 1 species